GUGUCUUCUGAUUUUAUUCAAAUUGGACCUGGCAACACUGAAAUAAUGUCAGAAUCUUUUCUUUGACAUUAUUUACAAUUUAUAUUAUUGUACAUAAUUGGUUUUUUCACUAUUCUUAAGCUAAAAAAAACACCUGUUUGUCCUCCAAAGAAUACCUUAUUGGAUUCACAGAAUGAUUGAGGAUUUGAGGGAAGCAUGUUAAGACUGUGACAAUAUGGUCUUAAGGCAGCCGGCCUCAUUGAGAACAAGAAAAUAUUCUGCUUCAUGUAGCGGUUGUUAUUUGUUAAUAUGACAUGUCUCGGCAGUGUAGUGACCCUGUGCUUAAUUAAGGCUUCAGGCUCAAAUCAUGGUAAACCAAAAUGUAAGCGGCCGGUUGAAAAAGUAGCAGAGUCGAAAAUGGAAAUUAAUGAGCUGCAGAAGUAAAUUUUAGAAGAAUAAUUCUCUUCUUUGUUGUAUCCUUGUGGCUGAGGGACAUGACGAAUGAGGCCAUUCUUUACCAGUGCUCUUCACGCCACUCAAUCCUGGGCCCGGUGCAUGCUAGCCUGCAGUGGUCUUUGUCAGAGAUGUUAUUGUGUCUGCCCAAUGUGUGCCCAUGCUGCCACUUCUUCACUUCCUUGCCGUGUCCUGUGAUUAUGGGAAUAAUAUGCAAAUAAAAACCAACAAUGGGCCAUCGAAGAACAGGAGAGGGCAUGUGGGCCUUAGAGAAAGAGUUGUUAAUGUGAAGACUAAAUAAAUUCAACAAAUAAAAUCUCAACUAUAAUACUGUCUUUGGUACACCCGCUACCAUCGCGUCAAAUAGUGAAAGUGCAGUUCAGUGUAAGCAAAGACAGUGUACAAGAUAUACCACUCACCUAUGGCAUUAGUGUUACUAGACCACAUUAAUACAUAAAGACUAUUUUUCUAAACUUGUCCAAAAAUUUUAUUAAAAAGGUGUCGGAACGCCUUACAGGUGUCUCGAGGGACCAAAAUAGCGGGUUCCUUCUUUGCUCAGAGGUUGAGUCUGGCGGUGCAAAGGGGAAACGCCGCAAGCAUUCUUGGGUCUAUGCCGGAGGCAGGGGAUCUGAGGGGGUUUUUUAUAUUUAGUUAUAACCUGCUUGUGUUAGUUUUAGUCUUUAGGGUUUUAAGAUUUAAUUAUAAGAUUAAAUAUAUUGUUCGUAGUUGUUGUUGAAUAAGCAGUGUUUGUGUGUCUGACUAACGAAAAUAUAAAUUCAGAUUCUAAACGUCUAAACUUGUGUAUAGCUCUGUGUUGUCUUAAUAAAUCCUAUUGGAAACGC
rnacentral:lncRNA from 1 species